rnacentral:rRNA from 1 species
GGCUGCAACUCGCCUAUAUGAAGUUGGAAUUGCUAGUAAUCGCGGAUCAGCAUGCCGCGGUGAAUACGUUCCCGGGCCUUGUACACACCGCCCGUCACACCAUGAGAGCCGGUAAUACCCGAAGUCAGUAUCCUAACCGCAAGGGGGGAGCUGCCGAAGGUAGGAUUGGCGAUUGGGGUGAAGUCGUAACAAGGUAGC